rnacentral:rRNA from 1 species
UUUUUUGUUUGACCUCAAAUCAGGUAGGGCUACCCGCUGAACUUAAGCAUAUCAAUAAGCGGAGGAAAAGAAACUAACAAGGAUUCCCCUAGUAACGGCGAGUGAACCGGGAAGAGCUCAAAUUUGAAAUCUGGCGUGCUCAGUGCGUCCGAGUUGUAAUCUAUAGAGUCGUUUUCCGUGCCGGACUGUGUCCAAGUCCCUUGGAACAGGGUAUCAAAGAGGGUGAUAAUCCCGUACUUGACACAAUGACCGGUGCUCUGUGAUACGUCUUCUACGAGUCGAGUUGUUUGGGAAUGCAGCUCAAAAUGGGUGGUGAGUUCCAUCUAAAGCUAAAUAUUGGCGAGAGACCGAUAGCGAACAAGUACCGUGAGGGAAAGAUGAAAAGCACUUUGGAAAGAGAGUUAAACAGUACGUGAAAUUGUUAAAAGGGAAACGAUUGAAGUCAGUCGUGACUGAGAGGCUCAGCCGGUUCUGCCGGUGUAUUCCCCUCAGUCGGGUCAACAUCAGUUUUGUUCGGUGGAUAAGGGCAGUUGGAAGGUGGCACCCUCGGGUGUGUUAUAGCCAGCUGUCGCAUACAUCGGAUGAGACUGAGGAAUGCAGCUCGCCUUUAUGGCCGGGGUUCGCCCACGUUCGAGCUUAGGAUGUUGACAUAAUGGCUUUAAACGACCCGUCUUGAAACACGGACCAAGGAGUCUAACAUAUCUGCGAGUGUUUGGGUGGAA